rnacentral:rRNA from 1 species
UACGAAGGGGGCUAGCGUUGUUCGGAAUUACUGGGCGUAAAGGGCGCGUAGGCGGCUUCGCUAGUCGGGCGUGAAAUGCCUGGGCUUAACCCGGGAAUUGCGUUCGAUACUUCGAGGCUAGAGUGUGGGAGAGGUUGGUGGAAUUCCCAGUGUAGAGGUGAAAUUCGUAGAUAUUGGGAAGAACACCGGUGGCGAAGGCGGCCAACUGGACCACAACUGACGCUGAGGCGCGAAAGCGUGGGGAGCGAACAGG